CGAGGCGCGGCGCGGCGCGGGGAGGAGGCGGGAUGCUCCCCCAGCAGACCCUGCCCCGGGGAUGCUGACCCCCCGCACCCACCGGAAAGAUGUUUCUGAAAGCUUUCUCUUUUCCCCUGAUUGGUGACCGUGCAAAACUGCAGAGGAAUGCAGGUGGAGGCAGAAGGGACCAGAAGUGUUUCCCACGGCAGAGGGAAGAACAGUAUUUUGGAUUCAGGAAGCUGCUUAGGGGAGCAGGGAAACCACCCGACUUCUCUCUGGUUUUUACACAAAUCUCUGUGGAAAUUCCCCUUUCCCCAGCGUUUUGCUCAAACAGCAAAAGAGGUUCAGCCUGAGAAGGUUGAAUUCCCAAUGGGACACAGUGGCUCCACCACUGAGAGAAAUUCAGUGCAAGAUACCCCUGAGGCCUCUGAGGUAACUUUGAAAAGUGAAGCAUUUUGGAGUCCAGAACACUUAUAUUCAAAAAAAGGGCACUGGCCAUAUCUCCUUUUAGCAGUAUUUUUCCUACUUGUUCAGCCUAACUCUUGUGAAGUAAACUGAUCUUCAUCACCAGA